rnacentral:rRNA from 1 species
UACAGAGGUCUCAAGCGUUGUUCGGAUUCAUUGGGCGUAAAGGGUGCGUAGGUGGCGUCGUAAGUCGGGUGUGAAAUUUCGGAGCUUAACUCCGAAACUGCAUUCGAUACUGCGGUGCUUGAGGACUGGAGAGGAGACUGGAAUUUACGGUGUAGCGGUGAAAUGCGUAGAUAUCGUAAGGAAGACCAGUGGCGAAGGCGGGUCUCUGGACAGUUCCUGACGCUGAGGCACGAAGGCCAGGGGAGCAAACGGG